GAUGAACGCUAGCUACAGGCUUAACACAUGCAAGUCGAGCGGAGCGGCGGACGGAAGAGUAAUGCCUAGGAAGCUGCCUGGUAGUGGGGGAUAACGUCCGGAAACGGGCGCUAAUACCGCAUACUAUCAGAUGAGCCUAGGUCGGAUUAUCUAGUUGGUGGGGUAACGGCCUACCAAGGCGACGAUCCGUAACUGGUCUGAGAGGAUGAUCAGUCCCACUGGAACUGAGACACGGUCCAGACGCCUACGGGAGGCAGCAGUGGGGAAUAUUGGACAAUGGGCGAAAGCCUGAUCCAGCCAUGCCGCGUGUGUGAAGAAGGUCUUCGGAUUGUAAAGCACUUUAAGUUGGGAGGCGUUACCAACAGAAUAAGCACCGGCUAACUUCGUGCCAGCAGCCGCGGUAAUUC
rnacentral:rRNA from 1 species